CCUACGGGUGGCAGCAGUAGGGAAUCUUCCGCAAUGGACGAAAGUCUGACGGAGCAACGCCGCGUGAGUGAUGAAGGUUUUCGGAUCGUAAAGCUCUGUUGUUAGGGAAGAACAAGUGCCGUUUGAAUAAGGCGGCACCUUGACGGUACCUAACCAGAAAGCCACGGCUAACUACGUGCCAGCAGCCGCGGUAAUACGUAGGUGGCAAGCGUUGUCCGGAAUUAUUGGGCGUAAAGCGCGCGCAGGCGGUCCUUUAAGUCUGAUGUGAAAGCCCACGGCUCAACCGUGGAGGGUCAUUGGAAACUGGAGGACUUGAAUACAGGAGAGGAAAGUGGAAUUCCAUGUGUAGCGGUGAAAUGCGUAGAGAUAUGGAGGAACACCAGUGGCGAAGGCGACUUUCUGGCCUGAUAUUGACGCUGAGGCGCGAAAGCGUGGGGAGCAAACAGGAUUAGAUACCCUUGUAGUCACCGC
rnacentral:rRNA from 1 species